rnacentral:rRNA from 1 species
CAGCAGCCGCGGUAAUACGGAGGAUGCGAGCGUUAUCCGGAUUCAUUGGGUUUAAAGGGUGCGUAGGCGGUUUUUUAAGUCAGUGGUGAAAUCCUGCGGCUCAACCGUAGAACUGCCAUUGAAACUGAAAAACUUGAAUAUAAUUGAGGUAGGCGGAAUGAGUAGUGUAGCGGUGAAAUGCUUAGAUAUUACUCAGAACACCAAUUGCGAAGGCAGCUUACCAAGCUAUAAUUGACGCUGAGGCACGAAAGCGUGGGGAUCGAACAGGAUUAGAUACCCUGGUAGUCCACGCCGUAAACGAUGUUCACUCGCUGUUUGCGAUAUACAGUAAGCGGCCAAGCGAAAGCAUUAAGUGAACCACCUGGGGAGUACGUCGGCAACGGUGAAACUCAAAGGAAUUGACGG